rnacentral:piRNA from 1 species
UGUAGUUUGAAAGUAGGUGAU